rnacentral:misc_RNA from 1 species
CUUCCGAUUUGAAGCCACAUAUCAUCGCAUCGUAGCCCCAUAGGUGCAAUUACCAUUGUUCGUAUUAUUGAGCACCGUUAGUGCUGAAAUGGGUGAAAUGCGCACCAUGGAAAUGAUGACUCACAUCGACCAGUACCUGCGCCGCAUCAUCGAGCUGCAGAUACGGGACGUGGUCAAGCAGAAUCGCGACAAAGAAAGCGUCAAGUCUAUUCUGGGUCGCCACACAAAGAUACUCGUCAAGUAUAUGGUCAAAUUGGAGACGAAAGGCGAUAAGACGGAGAAUCGUGUUCUGGUCUUUACUCCCGUCAGGGUCUAUUUGCUCAGUGCCAAAGUGCCCACCAAAAUCGAAUGCCAUUUCCACUACCUGGACAUUGUGGGGGUCGAGAGCAAGAAGUCCACCCACUUCUCCAUUGUGACCAACGAUCGGCCCUACUCGUUCGUUACCACCGGCGAUGCGGGCAAUUUCAGCUCGAACGCUGAUGUCAUUCUAACCGAUCUAGCCUCGGCCAUCAAGCAGAUAUUCCCAACAGUUCCUUUAAAGUACAUCAUCCGGAAGAUUGAUAUACAGCCACCGGAGCGGGAGACCAUAUUCUCCGAGGAAUUCAGACCCUCUGAUCCCCGAAAUGUGGGUCCCUGUGGGGGAUUCAGUGCCCAGUAUGCCUGCAUGUGCGAUUUCCAUGGCGUUCCCUAUCGCGAGGAAGUGGCUUGGGAUGUGGACACCAUCUAUCUUUCCCACGACACGCGAGUCCUCAACUUGCGCGACUUUGACCACCUGGAACCAAAAGACUUGAUGGCCAUCGUUUCGGCUCUGGAAUACAACACGUUCUUUCGUGGUCUGAAAGCAGCCCACAUGCGACUGUCCCACGAGACCCUGGAACGCAUCCUGCACGUCCUUAAGCGUUCGAUGUGGCUGGAAGAGCUGCACCUGGAGGCAUUGGGCUUAAGAUGGGAUUUCCUGAACAAGUUAUCGAUAUCUGUGAUAACGAAUAGCAAUCCCGCCAUUCGCACCAUCGAUCUAAGCCACAAUAUAAUUGAGGAUAAAGGAGCAAGUUCAUUGUGCGCCCUAUUUGGAAAGAUUGUACAAGGUGCCAUUCAUUUGGCUGGGCCAAUAGCCAAGGUAUCCAAGGGCCUGUGCAAACUGGCCCUGGCCCACUGUGGACUAACUUCAAAGGGAGUCAACCAGAUGUCGCACUCGCUCACGCUUAAUCAGAGUAUUUCCAACUCGCUCACGUAUCUAGACCUAAGUGGUAAUAGUCUCAAAGAUGAUAUAACCAAUUUGCACAACUUUCUGGCUCAACCCAAUGUACUGGAGCACUUAGAUCUGGCCUCGACUGACAUCACGCUGGAAAAUUUGUUUGGAGCUCUGUUGCGCGGCUGCGCCACGCAUUUGGCCCAUCUGAACGUGUCGCACAACUCGUUCAGCACCAAGAAGGGCAAGGAAAUCCCGCCCUCGUUCAAGCAGUUCUUCACCAGCACCUUCAGUUUAAAGCACCUCAACAUCGCCGGAUGCAAACUUCCCAUGGAGGCACUGAAAAACCUGCUGCUUGGUCUGGCCUGCAACGAGUCUACAGCCGGGCUUUAUCUGGAUCUCAGCAGUAACACGCUGGGCGCCCAAGGUGCUCAUGUGCUUGAAUCCUGCAUCCAUGGAGUGCGAGUUCUGCAAAGCCUAGACAUUAGCGAUAAUAAUCUUGAUGCUGAGCUAGCGCCCGUGUUGACAGCCAUUUCCAAGAACCCCUCGAUUCGGACACUUCACCUGACCCGCAGCCUUACGGGCAUGAAGCCAAAGCACAUUCCGCCCGUUAUGGACGCCCUGGUGAACCUCAUCCAAAAGGACGACUUCCCGCUGGUCGAGCUGAUACUAUCGGAGAAUAAACUGAAGCACGACCUGCACGACUUUAUCAACGCUCUGGGCAGCAACCAAAGCCUUCAGAAGCUGGACAUCAGUGGCAACUUUAUGGGGGAUGUGGGCGCCCGACUCCUGGCCAAAGCUCUGCAGAUUAACAACCGGCUGCGUACCAUAUAUAUGGAUAAGAACGGAGUUACGUUGCAGGGAUAUGCGGAUAUCGUUUACGCAUUAGAGCACAACCACAGCAUGCGCACUAUUCCCUUUCCUAUUUUCGAUAUUGCUCCGCAUCUGAAAAGCCACCCGGAUAAGACGGAUGCGGUAAUGCGUAAGAUGCAGGAGCUGCUGCAGCGCAACUGCAAUGGAUUAAAACGGGCCACCGGACAAGGAUUCCGGCUCCAGCACGGCUUCAUGCUCUCGUCCACACACCAGCUGGUUGAUAAGUUGGUGGCCGAGACUCAGGACACAAUUUCCCUGGCUAAGGGAGGCAGUGAAUCCGCCUCGGCGGUGCAGCGCCUGAUUACCGACGCCGAAAACUGCAAGCAACUGAUGCCAAAGCUGCAAGAGGCCGUUCGCAACGACAGUCAUCCCAUCGAAAUGAAGCUGACCCGAGUGGCCAGUGAACUGAGCUACACGAUUAAGAGUUAUCUGGAGGAGACCCUGGAGACGAUGAUGCGCACUGGAAUCGAGCAGUGCCCCAAAACUCUGGGCAACCAGAUUGUAGUUCAGGAUCUUCGAAAGGCUCUCGCCGAGCGUUUGGUGGUCCCCGAAGAAUUCCUGCAAAUCUGUCUGCUCAACAACGCCGGCAGUGAGAUUAUGAACAAAGUUGGUGAGAUUGAACAAUCCUUGGCAGCCGCCAUCUCAGAUCGGGCUACAGAUGAGGUGCUGGAGGCACUGACCCGCUACCGCCGAGGCAUGGGCAUCGCGGAGUCGCCAUCGGUGCUGCUGGACGAACCGCAGACGCCGGAUAUCGUGCGCAGUCGCUCCAGUCAUGAUGCGGAUGGUUUGAUCAUACGACCGGGUGGACGAGGCUCGAUACUGCCCAAACUGGGCUUGGAAUCGCCCACUGCCACACCACAUUUACCCACCAAGCGACGCAGUCUUGCAAAGAAGGUACGUCCCCAGUCUGUGGUGGAGAAUCUCAGCCUGGGACACUUUCCCGACCUCCUGGAGUCACCCUCCUCGCACCGCUCCAGCUCCCAGUUGUCUUCCCGUGCAGCUGCAGGUGCCGCCGCCUUGGUGGGAGCGGCCAAUAUGAACGACAGCAUCGUUGUGGACGACGGAGGAGUGGAUGAGUGUUGCGAUUCCAUCACGGAGCUGCCCAGCGCCUCGUUCCAGCUGCAACACCUGGUCAAAGGUCGGCCAAAGCGGGCCAAAACGCGUGCGCCCACUCGACCGUUGGUCGCCACUGAGUGUGCCGGGGGCAGCAGGGAAAUCGGCGAAGGCUUGGAACACUUCUUCCGGCCCGGUUCUGCUACGCCCACCACCCUGACUCCGUUAGUUUCACCAACGUCGGAAGAAUGCAGCUCCUUGUCGUUUGUGGACAGCCCUACGAUGAGCCGCGAUGGGAAUGGACACAUGACCUCUGAGGAGACCACUCCCAUUCUAGAGGAGCGCCGACCUAUUAAAUUGGAGCGCCAGUCGCCAUUGCUCAAAAGUGCGUCAUGGGCCACCCGCUCCCGAUCCACGGACAAUCUAGAGAAGUAUUCUCCACUGGUGGGUCGUAAGUCCCCGCUGGUAAAGAUGAGAACAGAAGGUGGUCCCGGCUCGGGAUCUGCAGGCGGCGCUGACGAGACGCCCAUGCCCAGUUGUAAUCUUCUUAAGGCAACCGCUCGAGAAGACAAAACACGUUCGCCCAGCAGCGAUUCGAUUAAAAGUCAUGCCACAGGCGAGGGUAGUGUUAUUGUGAAGACUGGCAACGGCAUCCUGCGAACGCCCAUAGUUCUGCAGAAACCGCGACCAUGGUCAGUUGUUGGCAGCGAGCCAAAGGCAAGCGGAGAGCUUAUUACAGGCAAUGGGAAUGCCGAAUCCAGCAAGACCACGCCUGAAAAAGUAGAAGAAGAUGACGUCGAGGUUGUGACUUUUGGAUCUACCUGUGGCUCAAUUGUAGGCAUUACGCCGGGAAUAGCUUUAUCUACCAGUGGCGGUGGAAGCAUUGUGGGCAUUACACCAGGAGGUGCCCUUGAAAAGAAGUCUGUGCGGGAACUAGCAGCGGGUCUCAACAGAAUGGAACUUCCCCUAAAGCCGCCCGUUAUGCCAAGAACCUUGCUGAACGCGGCGGGUGCCCGCACGAGCACGUCCUCCACAGGCUCCACCUCAAAUAGUGUAUCAGUCAGCUCAUCCAAGACCACCAACACAUCGAUGACAGUAUUAAACCAGAGCCAGACACGAUCAAGGAUCGUGAGCUCGAGCAGCACUGGCAGCACCGAGACCAUCACAGAGCACAGCACCACCAGCACCUCUUCCAACAGCCACGAGAAGCAACAUGCCAAGGCUUGUGCCAAUUUAAUCAGCAACGAGAUCCUCAAUAUGCGCAACGGACAGUUGGGUGCAAAGUCUGGUAGCUGCGCGGAAAGUGGUGGCGUAAAGCGAAUUGCCGGCAAGGAGAUCUCUACGCUAUUCGAGGUUUGAUCUCCGAGGCCGGAGCUGCAUUGCGAUAAAUUGUAUUCAUCACCGUUCAAAUUUUUGGCGUUCUUCGUUGAUUACGGCUUUCAUCCUGAGACAUUAGUUGAAGAACUGCAGCAAAGCAUUGCGACCAGACGCGGUUUUAGAGACUCGCCCUACACCAA